rnacentral:lncRNA from 1 species
AGUCCCGCAAUGAAGGUUUUUAUACUCAGCUUCGUUGUUUGUUGCGAGGAAGUUCAGUCUGAGGCACUUUUCAAAUAUUGCCCCUUCCGGGCUCUUCAAUAAUAUUCCCGCUCCUGCUCCUAAACAUUCUUGGCCCCAUCAACGAACAUUUUCCAGGCUGAAUUAGGGUCAAUCUGAGGUGGUUCUGUUAUAACCUCUGGACCCUUAAUCGCUUCCCCAACGACCGUUGUUUCAAAAGUCCGAGGUGGUACUUGAAUAGCCUUUGGACCCCCGGGUUCGCAUUGGGUUUUGGAAGGUUUUGCCCUUGAGCUCUCCUAUCCUCUGUGUGUAGACACCAGGCAGCCUUGUUCUGGACUCAUAGCUAGGGGUGAUAAUUCUGCCACGAAAUUGGCAAGCACCUGUCCUUUAAUUACUGCUCUAGGAAAAAACUUUAUAUCUGACUGUCCGAGUUCGAUGGCCCAUUUUGGAAGUCAGCCGGACAAGUCAGCUUUUGACAAAAUAUUUUUUAGCAGAAACUUAGUGUACACAUCUAUGGGGUGAGCUUGAAAGUAAUGCAUGAGUUUCCAUGAGGUUAAAAUCAGAGCCAAAACCAGUUUCUCCAAUGGUAAGUACCUUAUUUGACAAUCUGUAAACGUCUUGCUAACAAAGUAGAUCGGGCGUUGUUCUGCGUUCACCUCCUUUAAUAGCAUCGAUUUAACAACGUGUUUAGAGACAGCGAGGUAAACAUAGAGUAGCUCUCUCUCAUACAGAGUCGAAAGAAGUGGCGAUUUAGUUAAGUACUGUUUAAAUUGUUGGAGUGUGAACUCGCAUUCUUUAUUCCACGAAAAUUUUACAUUCUUACGAAGGAGUUUAAAAAAUGGAUGGCAUUUGUUUGAGAACUUACUGAUGAACCUCUAUUUCGUUGUAAGUCUCCCAAUACCGCUUGUUGUAGUUGUAGAUUGGUUCGUUUUACCCUUCCUCAACGUUAAAAGGGAUCAUACGCCUUUCGGUGCCUUUGUAUUGAUAAUGAACCGACCUACAAAAGACUCGGUCAACUGGUGGAAGUUCUCGAUUGAUUCUGCAGGUAACUUGUCAAAUCACUUCAAUCCGAGAUUCCCUAGACUUGACAGGAACACCCGGUACAUUAGGGCAUCCAUGUGGUUCCAAAGAGCCAUCAUUUUCCUUACAUGACUCACGUGGGACCUCGAGUCUGAUUUGCCAUCGUACAAAUUAAACAUCGGUGGUGUGAACUUCUCCGUUGGGUCUAACCCUUCGAUUUCUCGAGAGAACAGAGUCUGGUAUCUUGAGGCUGCCUCUCUUUACAUGUUGUGGGGGGUGCGAACUACUGAACCCGCUAGAACAACUUUGCUUAUGGCUUCUGCCUUGUGGCCAUUGAGUUUGGCUCGCAAAUCUUCUUAUUAGUUUCGCUUGGCGUUGAGCGUGUCGCGGAGAUCCACCUCGGAUUUGGUUGGCUCGGGGGUCCUUCUCCACUUACUCGUCACCACGGUCUCGCUGUCAGUUCGGCUAUCCACACUUACGUGUGUUUUAUGUCACCUCUUGUCUCGACCUUACUGUGGGGGUAGGGUCAGUUCUUUUAUCCGGCCUUCCGUUUGCCCUGGCGCAACAGUUUCGGCAGGUUUCAUCAAUCUGCUAUCAACCAUGAUCUACGUUAGUUUGGCCAGCUGCCUUUAUAAGCGUUCGAUGGUUAUGUCGCGACUGUCUUCUCUUCUAAGGAACAACCAACCUAGGUUCUACCUAGAGGUGGCCCUAGAUGCCCUCUACGUGUCCUCCAAUAGUUUACCCCCUCUGUGCCUAGGGGUUUUGGGAGCAUGAGGGAUCUCCCUGCGAGUUUCACGACUAUCUAUAUGGUUGCUACUAUGCGACGCCAUCAGAAACGGCUUGGCGAAUGUCUAUAAUUGAUUUUUCAUAGAUCGCGCCAAUUAUGGGGUUGUUGAUGUAAGGAUGGAAAAAAAAUCAAGGAUAAACACUCACGACGAUUCUAAUCCUUCAUCCGAUUGACUAGCGAUGCCCUAACUGCAAGCAUAGGAAUAGUGAGAAUGGCCGCUUGAGCUGUUUCUAAGAAAUGACCCUCGACGGUCAAAUUAGAUGUCCGGAUAUCUAGAGAGAGAAAGUGUAUGUAUGUAUAUUUUGAGAGUAAGGUUGCACAUACCUCCUUCAAGAUAACAAUGUUU